rnacentral:rRNA from 1 species
UACGUAGGGUGCGAGCGUUGUCCGGAAUUAUUGGGCGUAAAGAGCUCGUAGGCGGUCUGUCGCGUCGAUCGGGAAAACUUGGGGCUUAACCCUGAGCUUGCGGUCGAUACGGGCAUGACUGGAGUUCGGCAGGGGAGACUGGAAUUCCUGGUGUAGCGGUGAAAUGCGCAGAUAUCAGGAGGAACACCGGUGGCGAAGGCGGGUCUCUGGGCCGAUACUGACGCUGAGGAGCGAAAGCGUGGGGAGCAAACAGG